UACGUAGGGUGCGAGCGUUAAUCGGAACUACUGGGCGUAAAGCGUGCGCAGGCGGUUUUGCAAGCCGGAUGUGAAAUCCCCGGGCUCAACCUGGGAAUGGCAUUUGGGACUGCAAGGCUCGAGUGCGGCAGAGGAGACUGGAAUUCCUGGUGUAGCAGUGAAAUGCGUAGAUAUCAGGAGGAAUACCGAUGGCGAAGGCAGGUCUCUGGGCUGACACUGACGCUCAUGCACGAAAGCGUGGGGAGCAAACAGG
rnacentral:rRNA from 1 species